UACACUGCAGCAGGCAGAGUAUGAAU
rnacentral:piRNA from 1 species